GAACUACAAGGGGCCCCAGUCCUUCACUCUGCGUCAGCAACACCCCGUGGGGACGCCUAGGUAUGGUGUUCUCUGACCUUCAAAGCAAGCAGUAUCUUCACUCAUUCUGGUCCCCGGCUCCAGUGCAAGAUGCAUGGGUGUAAGCCUGCUGCACCCCCAUGAGCCUACGGACCCCCAGCGAGACCCCAGGACCCCCGAUGAGCCCUGGCCUGCCUGCAGGUUGCUGAGUUUUGAAGGCUGAAUGGCUCUGUCGUCUGGAGUAUCUUCCUGAUAUAUUUCAGCUGUUUCAGAACUGCAGAACUG